rnacentral:rRNA from 1 species
UACGGAGGGUGCAAGCGUUAAUCGGAAUUACUGGGCGUAAAGCGCACGCAGGCGGGUUGUUAAGUCAGGUGUGAAAUCCCCGGGCUCAACCUGGGAACUGCAUUUGAUACUGGAAAGCUUGAGUCGAGUAGAGGGGGGUAGAAUUCCAGGUGUAGCGGUGAAAUGCGUAGAGAUCUGGAGGAAUACCGGUGGCGAAGGCGGCCCACUGGACGAAGACUGACGCUCAGGUGCGAAAGCGUGGGGAGCAAACAGG